rfam:Asian citrus Psyllid, Diaphorina citri - Florida Strain, whole genome shotgun sequence.
GCGACGAUUAGCUUGGUUGGUAGGGCGUCUGCCUUGUAUGCUCUUGGCCGCGGGUUCGAUUCCCGCCCGGGGCG